AAUAUACCGGUUCUCGUUAGAUCACUGAAGUCAAGCAUCAUUGGGCGCGGUCAGUACUUGGGUGGGUGACCACCUGGGAACAACUCGUGCCGUU
rnacentral:rRNA from 1 species